GACGAACGCUGGCGGCGUGCCUAACACAUGCAAGUCGAACGGAACUCAUUGGAAUGAGACUUCGGUCGAAUGAUAGUGAGUUUAGUGGCGGACGGGUGAGUAACGCGUGAGCAACCUGCCUUUCAGAGGGGGACAACAGUUGGAAACGACUGCUAAUACCGCAUGGUGUAUUUCGAGGGCAUCCUUGAAAUACCAAAGAUUUUAUCGCUGAAAGAUGGGCUCGCGUCUGAUUAGUUAGUUGGUGGGGUAACGGCCUACCAAGACUACGAUCAGUAGCCGGACUGAGAGGUUGAACGGCCACAUUGGGACUGAGAUACGGCCCAGACUCCUACGGGAGGCAGCAGUGGGGAAUAUUGGGCAAUGGGGGCAACCCUGACCCAGCAACGCCGCGUGAAGGAAGAAGGCUUUCGGGUUGUAAACUUCUUUGACGAGGGACGAAUAAAUGACGGUACCUCGAAAACAAGCCACGGCUAACUACGUGCCAGCCGCCGCGGUAAUAC
rnacentral:rRNA from 1 species